CACGGAGCUGCUUGUGAUGGAGGUGGAAGAAGUGAUGGAGGAGGAAGUGGUGAUGGUCAGGAGGAGGAGGUGGUGAUGGUCAGGAGGAGGAGGUGGUGAUGGUCAGGAGGAGGAGGAGGUGGUGAUGAAGGAGGAGGAGGUGGUGAUGGUCAGGAGGAGGAGGAGGUGGUGAUGAAGGAGGAGGAGGUGGUGAUGGUCAGGAGGAGGAGGAGGUGGUGAUGGUCAGGAGGAGGAGGUGGUGAUGAAGGAGGAGGAGGUGGUGAUGGAGGAGGUGGUGAUGGUCAGGAGGAGGAGGAGGUGAUGGAGGAGGAGGUGGUGAUGGUAAAGAGGAGGAGGUGGUGAUGGAGUAGGUGGUUAUGGAG
ensembl:lncRNA